CUUGAAUUCCCUUAAAAGGGCUGCCAAUCCUCUCCCUCCUUACCAUUGAUGGUCUGGCAAGUCACAGAGGAUUACUUCCGGUUCAGUCUGCCAUCUUGUUUCUCUUACCUGUUGUCUCUUGUGGUCCUGGCUUCGGUUCUACGCUUACCUGAGCGCUUUCCAAACAAUUCGUUAACCCACGGCCCCUUCCGGCGUCCUCGCAGCCCGGUCUCAGCACGGUUAGUGAUUCUAAAACCGGAAGUCAAAAUACUUACCGUAAGGCAACGGUUGCAAACGUGACACGCUUUCACGGUAAGGCUUUCGUUUACAAUGGGCGUUCGGUUAAAUUCUCUGUUUAUUUACUUGCAUAGCCAUUUGUCUAUU